rnacentral:rRNA from 1 species
AACGAACGCUGGCGGCAGGCCUAACACAUGCAAGUCGAACGCCGUAGCAAUACGGAGUGGCAGACGGGUGAGUAACGCGUGGGAACAUACCCUCCGGUUCGGAAUAACUCAGGGAAACUUGAGCUAAUACCGGAUACGUCCAAGGUUUUAAUCGGCCUUGGAGAAAGAUUUAUCGCUGGAGGAUUGGCCCGCGUCUGAUUAGCCUGUUGGUGAGGUAAUGGCUCACCAAGGCGACGAUCAGUAGCUGGUCUGAGAGGAUGAUCAGCCACAUUGGGACUGAGACACGGCCCAAACUCCUACGGGAGGCAGCAGUGGGGAAUAUUGGACAAUGGGCGAAAGCCUGAUCCAGCCAUGCCGCGUGAGUGAUGAAGGCCUUAGGGUUGUAAAGCUCUUUUACCCGGGAAGAUAAUGACGGUACCGGGAGAAUAAGCCCCGGCUAACUUCGUGCCAGCCGCCGCGGU